rnacentral:tRNA from 2 species
GCCCCCGUAGCUUAACGGAUAGAGCAUCUGACUUCGGAUCAGACGGUUGUGAGUUCGAAUCUCGCCGGGGGCGCCA